UACGGAGGGGGCUAGCGUUGUUCGGAAUUACUGGGCGUAAAGCGCACGUAGGCGGCUGUUCAAGUCAGAGGUGAAAGCCUGGAGCUCAACUCCAGAAUUGCCUUUAAGACUGCAUCGCUUGAAUCCAGGAGAGGUGAGUGGAAUUCCGAGUGUAGAGGUGAAAUUCGUAGAUAUUCGGAAGAACACCAGUGGCGAAGGCGGCUCACUGGACCGGUAUUGACGCUGAGGUGCGAAAGCGUGGGGAGCAAACAGG
rnacentral:rRNA from 1 species